CGUUGAAACACAGGUUCUCAUCCGAUCACCGAAGUUAAACAACGUCGAACCUGGUCAGUUACUUGAUGGGUGACCACUUGGAAAUAACAGAUAUUGUAAG